rnacentral:tRNA from 1 species
UGGCUCAGAGGUUAAAGCGUCUGCCUGCAAUGCAGGAGACCUGGGUUCUAUCCCUG